AUUGAACGCUGGCGGCAUGCUUUACACAUGCAAGUCGAACGGUAACAGGCCGCAAGGUGCUGACGAGUGGCGAACGGGUGAGUAAUGCAUCGGAACGUGCCCAGUCGUGGGGGAUAACGCAGCGAAAGCUGUGCUAAUACCGCAUACGAUCUAUGGAUGAAAGCGGGGGACCGUAAGGCCUCGCGCGAUUGGAGCGGCCGAUGUCAGAUUAGGUAGUUGGUGGGGUAAAGGCCCACCAAGCCAACGAUCUGUAGCUGGUCUGAGAGGACGACCAGCCACACUGGGACGGGGACACGGCCCAGACUCCUACGGGAGGCAGCAGUGGGGAAUUUUGGACAAUGGGCGCAAGCCUGAUCCAGCAAUGCCGCGUGCAGGAAGAAGGCCUUCGGGUUGUAAACUGCUUUUGUACGGAACGAAACGGUCCGGGCUAAUACCCUGGGCUAAUGACGGUACCGUAGAAUAAGCACCGGCUAACUACGUGCCAGCCGCCGCUGUAAGAC
rnacentral:rRNA from 1 species